AUGGUGAUGACCCAGACUGCCGUCCCCAAUCCUGUCACUCUUGGAGAGUCAUUUUCCAUCUCCUGCAGUUCUAGUAAGAGUCUCCUACAUAGUGAUGGCAUCACUUAUUUGUAUUGCUACCGGCAAAGGCCAGGCCAAUCUCCUCAGCAACUCAUAUACUGGAUAUCCAACCUUGCCUCAGGAGUGCCAGACAGGUUCAGUGGCAGUGGAUCAGGAACAGAUUUCACACUGAGAAUCAGUAAAAUGAAGGCUGAGGAUACGGGUGUUUAUUACUGUUUGCAACUGCUAGAAUUUUCUCCCACAGUGUUACAACCCUGA